rnacentral:rRNA from 1 species
UACGUAGGGAGCAAGCGUUGUCCGGAAUCAUUGGCGUAAAGCGCGCGUAGGUGGCCCCGUAAGUCCGCUGUGAAAGUCAAAGGCUCAACCUUUGAAAGCCGGUGGAUACUGUGGGACUAGAGUACGGAAGAGGCGAGUGGAAUUCCUGGUGUAGCGGUGGAAUGCGCAGAUAUCAGGAGGAACACCAAUAGCGGAAGGCAGCUCGCUGGGACGUUACUGACACUGAGGCGCGAAAGCGUGGGGAGCGAACAGG